GGGGGAAUUAUGAAGGAGGAGGAGCCUGGAGGAAGAGGGAAUGUGAGGAUCAUGAAGGGGAAGGAUCCUGGGGAGAGAGAAUCACUGCUGUGAGGCAUCUGGCUGGCCUGUGAUGACCAUGUGUCCUGAUUGUGACUGUGGUGUUCUCACUGGCAUCUGGCUGUGCAGCUGUGUCCCUUCCUCCUGGCUGAAAAGCUUGCUGCUCUCGUCCCUGCCUCUGCUUCAUCAGUGCAGUUGUGCUGCAGUUCACUUCAGGCUACACUUGGAUCCAUUUAAAGGGCCUGGUGAUGUGAAUCCACUGCCUGCUUGUUCUGCAUCCACAUGAGCGCCCUCAGGGAAUGUUCACGUAAUCACUACAGCCAUUUCAUGCAGGAUGGAUCUUAUGUUUGAGCUCUCGAGGUUUGCAGUGCUCCCACAAACUGCCCAGCUGUUUGCAGCGUGCAAGGUGGAGAAAGAGGGAUAAAUCUUCAAGUGGUGCAAAACUGCUGGUGAUUUGUUCAGUUUGCAAAGGUAAACAGUAAUCUGUCCACUCUUGCCAAAACAUAUGGCUUUUACUACUGCUAGGUUUUUGUAGGGGAUUCCUGGAACUGUGAACAGGGGAGUAGCAUUCUGGUUUCCCCUUGUGGCUCAGGAUUUUUCGCACUAAAACGUGGUAUCUUUUAAUUAGAGAUGUGUCAGUGCAGCAAAGUCUAUUAAACAGAAUAGAACUUCAGCUUGUUAGCGAGGAGGGUGUGGGCUGGGCUUCAUUGUGCAAUUGUUUCCAGCCUUUGCGAGUGGUGAGGUUUAGUUUGGUCACCUCCUUCCUUCGGAGAUACUAGGUCGACACUUCUGUUGCUGUGCAGAAGUGUUCUCCAUCAUCUGCUGGGGAAAAAAAAGCUCGAUAGUGUGACAAUCUGCCUUGGUUUCCCAUGUUUUUUGUAGCUUUGCCUUGCUGUAUUACUAAAAUUUCAUACUGAUCUGUACAGCUAAAUGCAUAGCCUGAAAGCUGGACGUAACAGUACAAAUCCUUCCUGGCUUUUCUGCGUCUGUGACAGGAAAUGUCACGGUCAGCUGAUAACGCUUCAAAUAAUCAGAGUGAGAAGCUGUAAAAUAGAUCCUUAAUAAUGCACGUGUGUGAAUUUAAUGGCUAUGAGUAGAUUAACCUUGAUCCAAAAGAGGUGACAACUUUGUCUUGAUUUAUAACGAGCAGUUUUGUUAACAGAGAGAAUUUGCUUUGAACGUUCUCCUUUAUAGAUGUACUGUAUCACAUGAGCUGCUGUACUUCUCAUAGAAAAAUUAUCAGGAUCUUUCUCUGUAAAUAUCAGAUAACCUCCAAAAGAGAUUGCUGGCUCUAUUUAAGUCUCAGUAUUUAUCUCACAUGGGAAUAUCUGAUACAGUUGUCUGAUGACUGCUCAAUGUUUAUUUUCCUCAAUGAAAGGAAGCUGUAUAGAUUCAGAAAGCAGAGGUAUAUAUUCAGGGUGUGUUAGCACUGUUCUGACCUGGCUCUGGAGAAAUCUUGGAAAUUCUAACUCCUCAAUUACCCAAAAUACUGCAACUAUACAAGCAGUAUAAAGUUAGAGGGAUUAUAUUUGUUAGUAAUAAAUCUUCAUGAAAGAAAGCACUGAGACCAGACAUAAACACUGGACAGCAGAUCUGUUAACACUGAGCUUUGCAAGUGUCAGAAGGCACCUGACUGUACUAGUGCUGCAUGGCAGCUUAGAUGCUCAGUGACCUCUAGUUUUAGAGUAUAUUUACAAUUUUAGAGGCUAAAAUAUUUUCACUGGACUAAAUGGGCUCUGCUUUGAAACAAAAUGUUAUUGCCUGCCUUGCCAUAUCUUUACAUUUGGAAGCUGCUAAUGGCUUUUCUGUCCUCGUGCCCUUUCCUUUAAUUCUGCGUGUUGAGAGGAAUAGCAAUAAUGGGAGAGUGUCUUGGGCUCCUGGGAUAAGAGAUGAGAAACUGUUAUUAAUCUCUUUUAAUAGCUGUAUUUUCAAAGCUCUCAUUUGCUGAAGUUCAGUGAGGGGCCAAUUGCUUUAAAAUGGUAGGAAACAAUUAGCGAUACAACCUUUAUUAAAAUAAAUAACCGGUGAUAGAUUAUUUUAGUGUUCUGUUCUUACAUCCUAAACUUAUAAUACAGGCUUUAUGGCCUUGCUCAAAUUGGAAGGACAAAGUAGCAGGCUUGGAGUUGAGCUUUGCGUGUUGUUCCACGA